UGUGUCCCUCUCUCUGCAGGCUGUCAGGCUGUAGAGUCACACAGAGAGGCUGUGAUUCUCUGGCUUCAGCUCUGUGUUCAAACCCCUCACACCUGAGAGAGCUGGACCUGAGAUACAAUCACCCAGGAGACUCAGGAGUGAGAGCGCUGUCUGCUGCUAAACUGGACACACUCACACUGCUUGUGGACCAUGGAGGAGAGAACAGGACCAAACCAGGACCCAGGAAAUACGGCUGUCAGCUCACACUGGAUCCAAACACAGCGCACAGAGAGCUGUCUCUGUCUGAGCGGAACAGGAGGGUGACACACACAUGGAGAGAGGAGCCAUAUCCUGAUCAUCUAGAGAGAUUUGAGCGCUGGCGCCAGGUUGUGUGCAGAGAGAGAGUGCGUGAGCGCUGUUACUGGGAGGCUGAGUUCAGUGUGUCUGAGGGGGGAUGGGUUCAUAUAGCAGUGACAUAUAAAGGAAUCAGCAGGAAAGGAGUGGGUUCUGACUGUGUGUUUGGAGAGAAUAAAAACUCCUGGAGUCUGGAGUGUGAUAAACUCAGAUACUCUGAUAAACUCAGAUACUCUGUCUGGCACAAUAAGAA